AUGUGUGUGUUUUGCAACGCUGUAUGUUGUAAACAGCUGUAAGUAGCUGUCUAAACAGAAAGAACACGUUUUAUUUUCUACAGUUUGAUCAGAUCUUAUCUUGCAAUAGCUUAUUCAUAAAAAAAGAAUUUUAGCAAAAACACCGAGGGAAUAAGUGUAUCGCGCAAAAGAUUCGAUAUAAGUUAACACAUUUCGUCAAGCAUGCCACCUCAAAGGAAGCAGAGGAAAAUAGCUAUAAUGGGCUAUCGUUCAGUCGGAAAAUCAUCAUUGACAAUUCAAUUUGUGGAGAAUCAAUUUGUUGACUCAUACGACCCUACAAUUGAGAACACAUUUACUAAACCAUGGAAAGUUCGUGGGCAAGAUUUUGAGCUUAAAUUUGUUGAUACGGCUGGUCAAGAUGAAUAUGCUAUUUUCCCAGCACAACAUUCAAUGGACAUGCAUGGUUAUGUUCUUGUUUACUCUAUUACUUCAGUUCAAAGUUUUGAACUUCUUCAAGUUUUGUUAGAAAAGAUCAUGGAUAUGACUGGUAAAAUCAAAAUACCUCUUGUUAUUGUUGGUAAUAAAACGGACCUCCACCGCGAAAGAGUUGUCAGUACAGAAGAAGGCAAGAGACUAGCCGAUACUUGGAAAGCAUCGUUUUAUGAAGUUUCUGCCAGAUCGCACGAGUCUGUCUGCGAAAUUUUUAACAGGCUAAUUACAGAGAUGGAAAAAGCAGACAGCAGUAAUGGAAACGAGAAAAGUAGUUGCAUUAUCUCCUGAGCGGGUAUAGAAGGUAGACGUGUCUACUAGGGCCUAUUCGUUUUUUUUUUCUUCUAAUAAUAUUAUGCAGUGUUCUCGUAACGACCGUUUUCUGGUUUUCUUUCUGGAUUUGUGUCAAACAACAAGUUAAAGACAUUCAUGGAAUUUUGUAUUCUGAUUUUGAAUGUCUAAAAUGACACGAGAAAUUUGAACUAAUGUGAUAGAUCUGAAUGGGUUUUUUUUUCAGAAAAGACUCACAUCGUUCUACACAGUGGAUAGUAAUGAAAUUCAAUCAGAAACUCCGCAAGACAUAUUUUCGCCAACGUGAACGGUAUUAAAUGUCCCUUAUCAUCAAGCUAACAUUUCAGGGGAACGAGCAAGCCGGAUCCAUCAACGGUGACAACUUUCCAGAUCAACAAUCAGUAUCUUGUUUUCCAUGGUAGUACAUACAUUAUUUUACACCGCUUUAACUUAAGUCCAUGUUCGAAUCGCUUGACGUGCCAGCCAUAUUUCCGUGAUGUCCGGAGCCGUCUUUCUGUAUAGAGUCGAAAAGAGCCUAAACAAAGAAGAUACUAUCAGAAGACGAA